GCUACCUGCAGUCGACGGUCCUUCGGGACAGUGGCGGACGGGUGAGUAACACGUGGGAACGUGCCCUUUGGUUCGGAAUAGCUCCGGGAAACUGGAAUUAAUACCGGAUGUGCCCUUCGGGGGAAAGAUUUAUCGCCAUUGGAGCGGCCCGCGUCUGAUUAGCUAGUUGGUGGGGUAAAGGCCCACCAAGGCUACGAUCAGUAGCUGGUCUGAGAGGAUGAUCAGCCACAUUGGGACUGAGACACGGCCCAAACUCCUACGGGAGGCAGCAGUGGGGAAUCUUGCGCAAUGGGCGAAAGCCUGACGCAGCCAUGCCGCGUGGAUGAUGAAGGUCUUAGGAUUGUAAAAUCCUUUCAGCGGGGACGAUAAUGACGGUACCCGCAGAAGAAGCCCCGGCUAACUUCGUGCCAGCAGCCGCGGUAAUACGAAGGGGGCUAGCGUUGCUCGGAAUUACUGGGCGUAAAGGGCGCGUAGGCGGAUGUUUAAGUCGGGGGUGAAAGCCCGGGGCUCAACCCCGGAAUUGCCUUCGAUACUGGACAUCUUGAGUACGGGAGAGGUGAGUGGAACUCCGAGUGUAGAGGUGAAAUUCGUAGAUAUUCGGAAGAACACCAGUGGCGAAGGCGACUCACUGGCCCGUUACUGACGCUGAGGCGCGAAAGCGUGGGGAGCAAACAGGAUUAGAUACCCUGGUAGUCCACGCCGUAAACGAUGAGUGCUAGUUGUCGGGCGGCAUGCCGUUCGGUGACGCAGCUAACGCAUUAAGCACUCCGCCUGGGGAGUACGGUCGCAAGAUUAAAACUCAAAGGAAUUGACGGGGGCCCGCACAAGCNGUGGAGCAUGUGGUUUAAUU
rnacentral:rRNA from 1 species